rnacentral:lncRNA from 10 species
AGUCUGUGAGCUGGGAGCCUGUUGGCAGGUCCCUCUUUUUAUUUUCGCUGAGAGCUUUCUUUUACUAAAUGCCACCAUCCUUACCUUUCAAGGUGUCUGCGUGCCUAAUUUUUCCUGGUUGUUAGACAAGAACCCGGAUUUUAGUUGAACUCUGGAGCAAAAAUCCUGCAUCAUUUGUAGUUCUUUUACAGGAAGCUUUUGUUACGUGUUGUCAGCACAUUGCUGUGAUGCUCAAGUAUAGCUCUUUAAUGUGAAAACCUGGUAUUUGGGCAUGGCUUGAAGCAGGUGGGUGUCAUUGUGACUGGCUGCUACCUCCCCAUGAGUCUUCUAAAAUAAAACCUGCAAAUUCACAUCUUCCCCAUGCUUCCAGAGAAUGCAUAUUCUUCCUUUGAAAAAAGAAAACCAGGUAGUCGUACAGUGUCCAGAAGGCAAAAGGACAAGUAUGCACUGCCCUACUUACCUACUUUCCACACUGCUGCACAGGAAAAUCUGACAGAGGACAAUAACAAACAUCUCACCAGCUCAUGCGUUCUUUUUUGAUCCUAAUUCCGAGAGACUCACCAAAGACAUGAAGAGAAAACAAACAAUACUUUUCUUGGAAAUAUUGUAAUUGCUGGUACAUUUGUUGUUCUGGCAUAAAGUAGAAAUUGUCAGGUAAACAUUGCUUCCUUUUGGAUCAAAAAGAAAUUUAACCAAAUAAAUGCAAGAGGUAUGAGGGAAGAUAAUGGGAAAUAAAUGA